AGGGCCUGGCGGUGGCCUGCGCGCGCUCAGGGAGUUCGGGCCGGCUGUAGAGUGCCUUGCUUGGACCAGAUGCUGGAGCCAGCAUGGGGAUGACCUGAAGCCUGCCCUUGAGAAGGUCGAGUACAUGUAGGCUGCCCAGGGCCCAUGCCAGGGAUGGGACGCCCUGGAGCCCAGGACAGCCCAGAGGAGAGAGACCCUCAAAGCUCCCCCCCAACCCCCUGCCCUCCGCAGUCAGGUUGUGUGUUCGAGGUCCUUGGGCUGCAACUUGGCCUGAUCCUUGCCUCUGCAGUGGAAGUGCGGAGAUGGCUUCAAGUCUUCCUACUGGGUGGUAAAUAAAAUGAACCUCUUCUGGUACGUUUACGGAUGAGACUUAAUAAUUUCUCUUGGAGAAAUAAUGGGCUCAUUCAAUUCAGAGAUAAGUUUUUAUUCUCUGGGACUCAGACGUUUCCUUUACAGUAAGUAAAAAAAACAACAAUGCUAUUUUCAUUUGGGGGGGGAAAGUGUUGUAAAUUAAAUUCUGAAAUUCAGUUAUAUGACAAUAACAUGCUAAGGCAAGUUAAUCCUUUUGGUAAAAUGAACACCCAAGCAUGUUUGUAUGCAGUUUAGUUUAUGCUUAUUGCUAGACUCUGAAGAGCUGGCACAGAUCUGGGCAAGAAAAAUGUGUCUAUUUCUUCUCAAUAUGUCUACCCUUUGAAUUAAAUAUACUAGAGGUUGAUGUUACUUGGAUGUCGACUUUUUUAGUAGUACUAUGAGACAUGAGGUUUAAUUUUUUUCCAAACUUAUUUCAAAAUGUGUCACAAACCUUUGGCUUGGUAAGGCAUUGAUAAAUUCAAGAUAGAG
ensembl:lncRNA